GAUGAACGCUGGCGGCGUGCCUAACACAUGCAAGUCGAACGGAGAUAUUGCUUGGAAGCUUUUCGAGGUGAAAGAGAACUAUCUUAGUGGCGGACGGGUGAGUAACGCGUGGGCAACCUGCCUCAUACAGGGGGAUAGCAUCGGGAAACUGGUGGUAAAACCGCAUAAGCGCACGAAGACGCAUGUUUUUGUGUGAAAAGGAGAAAUCUGGUAUGAGAUGGACCCGCGUCUGAUUAGCUAGUUGGAGUGGUAAAAGCACACCAAGGCGACGAUCAGUAGCCGGCCUGAGAGGGUGGACGGCCACAUUGGGACUGAGACACGGCCCAG
rnacentral:rRNA from 1 species